GUCCUUUUGAGAAUGAUUUAAGGUCUAACCUGCCCAGUGAUUAAUUUAUGUAUAUUAAAUGGCCGCGGUAUUUUGACCGUGCGAAGGUAGCAUAAUAAUUAGCUUUUUAAUUGAAGGCUGGAAUGAAUGGUUGAACGAGAAAAUUUCUGUCUCUUUUUUGAUUUAAUUAGAACUUAAUUUUUAAGUAAAAAAGCUUAAAUUUUUUUUAUAGACGAGAAGACCCUAUAGAGUUUAAUAUUUAAAUUUUAUUUUUAAUUUUAGAAUUUAUUUUAAAUUAAAAUUUUAAGUAUUUGGUUGGGGUGACAAAAAGACUUAGUAAACUCUUUUUAAAUUUAAACACUAAUUUGUGAAUGUUUGAUCCAUUUUUUGUGAAUAAAAGAUAAAAUUACCUUAGGGAUAACAGCGUUAUUUUUUCAGAGAGUUCAAAUCGAUGAAAGAAAUUGCGACCUCGAUGUUGGAUUAAAGUUAAUUUUAGGAGCAAAAGCUUAAAUAUUAGGUCUGUUCGACCUUUAAAACUUUACAUGAUCUGAGUUUAAACCGGUGUGAGCCAGGUUGGUUUCUAUCUUGAAAUUAUUAGUAAAUCUUAGUACGAAAGGACCAGGUUUUAAGUAAAAUAUUUAAUUUUUUGGAUAAUAUUGUUACUUUGGCAGAAUAGUGCGUUAGAUUUAGAAUCUUUUUAUGUAUUUAAUACAGGUAAUACUUGAUAUUAAUAGAUCUUUUUUUAAUUUUUUUAAAUAUAUUGAUUUUAAUUGUUUGUGUUCUUGUCAGUGUAGCUUUUUUUACAUUAUUAGAACGAAAGGUUUUAGGAUAUAUUCAAAUUCGAAAGGG
rnacentral:rRNA from 1 species